rnacentral:rRNA from 1 species
AGGACGAACGCUGGCGGCGCGCUUAACACAUGCAAGUCGAGCGAGAACCUGGCCUUCGGGCCUGGGGAAAGCGGCGAACGGGUGAGUAACACGUGGGUAACCCACCCUUGGUACCGGGAUAGCCAGAGGAAACUCGGAUUAAUACCGGAUGGCCCAACAGCUCUUCGGGGCGGUUGGAAAAGGUAGCUUCGGCCUCCGACCAAGGACGGGCCCGCGGCGGAUUAGCUUGUUGGUGAGGUAACGGCUCACCAAGGCGACGAUCCGUAGCUGGUCUGAGAGGACGAUCAGCCACACUGGGACUGAGACACGGCCCAGACUCCUACGGGAGGCAGCAGUGGGGAAUCUUGCGCAAUGGGCGAAAGCCUGACGCAGCGACGCCGCGUGGGGGAAGAAGGCUUUCGGGUUGUAAACCCCUUUCAGGAAGGACGAAGCCACUCGGGUGAAUAGCCCAGAGGGUGACGGUACUUCCAGAAGAAGCCCCGGCUAACUACGUGCCAGCAGCCGCGUAA